CCUGUGCCUGUUUCAAGUAAUCCAGGAUAGGCUUGUUCAAGCUUGGAAGGCCUAUUCUGGAUGACUUGGUUCAGGAGCAAG
rfam:Lepisosteus oculatus linkage group LG12, whole genome shotgun sequence.